ACAAGCGGUGGAGCAUUGUGGUUUAAUUCGAUGCAACGCGAAGAACCUUACCUGGUCUUGACAUCCACGGAAGUUUCAGAGAUGAGAAUGUGCCGUUCGGAACCGUGAGACAGGUGCUGCAUGGCUGUCGUCAGCUCGUGUUGUGAAAUGUUGGGUUAAGUCCCGCAACGAGCGCAACCCUUAUCCUUGUUGCCAGCGGUCCGGCCGGGAACUCAAAGGAGACUGCCAGUGAUAAACUGGAGGAAGGUGGGAUGACGUCAAGUCAUCAUGGCCCUUACGACCAGGGCUACACACGUGCUACAAUGGCGCAUACAAAGAGAAGUGACCUCGCGAGAGCAAGCGGACCUCAUAAAGUGCGUCGUAGUCCGGAUUGGAGUCUGCAACUCGACUCCAUGAAGUCGGAAUCGCUAGUAAUCGUGGAUCAGAAUGCCACGGUGAAUACGUUCCCGGGUCUU
rnacentral:rRNA from 1 species